GGUGAACCUGCGGAGGGAUCAUUAACGAAUGGCCUUAAAGGCCUUCAACCUUGUAAACCUGUGGAAGCAAGAUGUGCUUUGGCGCCUUCGGGCGCCAACUUUAUGCCUAGRUCAGUCUYGACGUCUGAAUCAAAAACAAGAAAUAAAACUUUCAACAAAGGAUCUCUUGGCUCUCGCAUCGAUGAAGAACGCAGCGAAGCGCGAAAUGUAGUGUGAAUCGCAGAACAUUGUGAAUCAUCGAAUCUUUGAACGCACAUUGCGCCUCCAGUAACUUGGAGGCAUGCCUGUCUGAGCGUCAUUUAAAACCAUAGACCCUUCUGGGUUUGUAUUGGGCCUCGCCCUAGGGCGUAGCCUCGAAGCCAUCGGUCUUAUACGYGGACGAGCUCCAUUCGGACGGAACGUGUGUGGACCUURAUACAUCUGACUUGACCUCAGAUCAGGUAGGACUACCGCCUGAACUUAAGCAUAUCAAUAAGCGGAGGA
rnacentral:rRNA from 1 species